GGUAUUUAGUUUAAAAAUUGUGUGGCGUGACCCGUCCAACCAACCAAGAUGGCUGCCAUGGCUAAAAAUAGAACAUAGAGGGGAAAUGUAGAUUUUGGCUUAUAUCUCUGACACCAAAGCAUUUAGAGCAAAUCUGACUGGGUAAAAUUGUUUAUCAGGUCAAGAUCUAUCUGCCCUGAAAUUUUCAGACAAAUCAGACAACCUGUUGUUGGGUUGCUACCCCCG
rnacentral:lncRNA from 1 species